rnacentral:rRNA from 1 species
AGCUUGCUUUUUAAGCUUAGUGGCGAACGGGUGAGUAACGCGUGAGUAACCUGCCUAUCAGAGGGGGAUAACGAUUGGAAACGAUCGCUAAUACCGCAUGACAUAGCGGAACCGCAUGGUUCUGUUAUCAAAGAUUUUAUCGCUGAUAGAUGGGCUCGCGUCUGAUUAGCUAGUUGGUGAGGUAACGGCCCACCAAGGCGACGAUCAGUAGCCGGACUGAGAGGUUGAACGGCCACAUUGGGACUGAGAUACGGCCCAGACUCC